rnacentral:rRNA from 1 species
UACGAAGGGGGCUAGCGUUGCUCGGAAUUACUGGGCGUAAAGCGCACGUAGGCGGCUUUUUAAGUCAGGGGUGAAAUCCUGGAGCUCAACUCCAGAACUGCCUUUGAUACUGGCGAUCUCGAGUCCGGGAGAGGUGAGUGGAACUGCGAGUGUAGAGGUGAAAUUCGUAGAUAUUCGCAAGAACACCAGUGGCGAAGGCGGCUCACUGGCCCGGUACUGACGCUGAGGUGCGAAAGCGUGGGGAGCAAACAGG